rnacentral:lncRNA from 1 species
AUGAAGCAAGAGAUUGAGAGAUUGAGGCUAUGGCAGAAAGUCAUGGAGGAGCAGCGACCAAGACUGGCCUGGAACAACAAACCUAUUGAAACAGGAAGAGAGAGAGAAAGAGAGAGAGAAAAGGAGAGGGAAAGGGAGAGAAAAGCAGAAUUGGAAAGACAAGAAAUGAAGAAGAAAGUGGAACAGGCAGAAGAAACGAUAAAAGCGUUAGAACGAGAGAUUGAGAGAUUGAAAGAGAUUGAGAAGGAAAUUAUAUUUGAAAGAGAAAGAGACAUGCGUAUUGCAGAGAAUGAGAAAGUCAAACUGGUUAACGAAAAGGUAAAAGAGUUAGAGAGAGAGGUUGAGAGACUGAAAGAAGAUAUGACAACAAAAGAGAUUCAAUACAAAAUCAAAUUUGAAAGAGCGAAAGAAGCGUUUAGAAGACAGAAUGAGAGAGUGAAACAGGUUAAUCAAAAUGUACUAGUGUUAGACAGAGAGGUUGUGAGAAUGAAAGAAGAGAUUAGAUUGAAAGACGAGACUGAACCAGAGAGAACAUUUGAUAGAGACAGAGAGAGAGAAAAUGAUUGGAGACAAAGUGAAGAGGAGAUGAGAAAGAGAGUGGAGAGAGAGAUGGAGAUGGAGACAGCCCUCAUCAAUGACAAAAAGACGUCUGAAUUGGAGGAAGUCUUCAAGAAAAUCAAGGAACAGCGGAUUGAAUUAGAAAAUAUGGAAACAGACAAAUAUAAAUGGAAACAGAACCAAAUGGACAUGGAGGAGAAGAUGGAGGGUGAGCACAACAAACAGAAAGAGGUAGAAAGAAAGAGAAUGGAGAAAAUACCAAAACAGAGACAAGAAGAAGAUGAGAAGAAGAAGGAGAUGGAGAGAGAAGAAGAAGAGGAGAGACGCAAACAGAAGCACAUAGAGAUGGAAGAGGAAGAAAGAGAGAGGGAGAAAGAGAGACAGAGAGACAUCAAAAGGAAGAUAAUGGAAAAGAGACAUAAAAAUAUGGAAAGAGAAGAGAGACAGAGAGAGAUUGAAAGAAAGAUAAUGGAAAAGAGACAAAAACAAAUCGAAAGAGAAGAAGAGAGACAGAAAGAGAUUGAAAGAGAGAAUGAAGAACUAUUUGAACAGAAGCAAAAAGAGAUGGAAGAGGAAGAACGAGAGAGGGAGAAAGAGAGACAGAGAGAGAUCAAAAGAAAGAUAAUGGAAAAGAGACAAAAACAUAUCGAAAGAGAAGAAGAGAGACAGAAAGAGAUUGAAAGAGAUCGUGAAGAAGAAAGAUGUAAACAGAAGCAAAUAGAGAUGGAAGAGGAAGAACGAGAGAGGGAGAAAGAGAGACAGAGACAGAUCAGAAGACAGAGAAUGGAAAAGAGACAAAAACAAAUCGAAAGAGAAGAAGAGAGACAGAAAGAGAUUGAAAGAGAGAAUGAAGAACUAUUUGAACAGAAGCAAAAAGAGAUGGAAGAGGAAGAACGAGAGAGGGAGAAAGAGAGACAGAGAGAGAUUGAAAGAGAGAUUGAAGAAGAAAGAUGUCAACAGAAGCAAAUAGAGAUGGAAGAGGAAGAACGAGAAAGGGAGAAAGAGAGACAGAGACAGAAAAAUAUGGAAAGAGAAGAAGAGAGACAGAGAGAGAUUGAAAGAGAAGAAGAGGAGAGACGCAAACAGAAGCACAUAGAGAUGGAAGAGGAAGAACGAGAGAGGGAGAAAGAGAGACAGAGACAGAUCAGAAGACAGAGAAUGGAAAAGAGACAAAAACAUAUCGAAAGAGAAGAGAGACAGAAAGACAUUGAAAGAGAGAAUGAAGAAGAAAGAUGUAAACAGAAGCAAAUAGAGAUGGAAGAGGAAGAACGAGAGAGGGAGAAAGAGAGACAGAGAGAGAUCAAAAGGAAGAUAAUGGAAAAGAGACAUAAAAAUAUGGAAAGAGAAGAGAGACAGAGAGAGAUUGAAAGAAAGAUAAUGGAAAAGAGACAAAAACAAAUCGAAAGAGAAGAAGAGAGACAGAAAGAGAUUGAAAGAGAGAAUGAAGAACUAUUUGAACAGAAGCAAAAAGAGAUGGAAGAGGAAGAACGAGAGAGGGAGAAAGAGAGACAGAGAGAGAUUGAAAGAGAGAUUGAAGAAGAAAGAUGUCAACAGAAGCAAAUAGAGAUGGAAGAGGAAGAACGAGAAAGGGAGAAAGAGAGACAGAGACAGAAAAAUAUGGAAAGAGAAGAAGAGAGACAGAGAGAGAUUGAAAGAGAAGAAGAGGAGAGACGCAAACAGAAGCACAUAGAGAUGGAAGAGGAAGAACGAGAGAGGGAGAAAGAGAGACAGAGACAGAUCAGAAGACAGAGAAUGGAAAAGAGACAAAAACAUAUCGAAAGAGAAGAGAGACAGAAAGACAUUGAAAGAGAGAAUGAAGAAGAAAGAUGUAAACAGAAGCAAAUAGAGAUGGAAGAGGAAGAACGAGAGAGGGAGAAAGAGAGACAGAGAGAGAUUGUAAGAGAGUAUGAAGAAGAAAGAUGUCAACAGAAGCAAAUAGAGAUGGAAGAGGAAGAAAGAGAAGAAGAGAGACAGAGAGCGAUCGAAGAGAAAGAAAGACGACAGCAACAAGAGGAGAUAAAGAUAAUGUUUGAGAGAGAUCAAGAAGAAGAAAAUAUAUGGAAACAGAAGCAAAUUGACAUGGAGAAGGAGGGAAGAGAGGGGGAGAACAAGAGACAGAGAGAGAUAGAAGAGAUACACAGACGACAACAACAAGAGGAGAGACAGAAACAAAAGGAGAAGGAGAAAGAAAGGGAGAAAGACAAUGACAAUCAGAGAGAGAUGGAAUUAAAAGAUCAGCAACAGAAAGAGAUGGAGAAAGAAAAGAUGAUUAUGAGAGAAAGGGAGGAAGCAGGAAGAAGAAAGGAGGGGCAGAAAAAUAUUUUGGGGGAAAUUGAGGGACAGAAUGAACUGGAGAUAGAACAGGAGAGAGAGAUGGAAGAAAAGCAGGAAGUGAUUAAGGAAGCAGAGGAAGAGUACAGGGAAAGAGAAGAGAGAGGAAAGGAAGUAAGCAUGAAGAAACAUGUAGUAGUUAAUGUUAAAGCAAAAGCACGGGAAGUCUUCAAUAGGCGUAAAGAGAGGAGGUUAGAAGUGUUGAAGGGGGAACGAGAACACAUAGAAAGAGGACAACAAAUCAGGAGGGAGAAGGAGGAAAGACGGCUGGAGAUGGAAAGAAAACAGGAGAGGGCAAGACAACAAGAGGAGCAGGAUAAAAAACAAGAGAUUGAAAUUGCUAGACAGAAAGAAAUGUUGAGACUAAGAGAGGAGGAGAGGCAGAGAGAGGAAGAGAGAGAGGAGCAGAGAAAGAGAGCCAUUGAAGGCCAUUUAGCUUUAAUCAGAGAGAGAGAGAAGAUUUUAGAGGUAAAGAAAAAAGAGGAGAUGGGGGGGCCAGACAGCCAGCAGCUAGAAGCUCCAGAAGAGGCUGAAACAUCAGAGCCAACCUCCAAGAACAAGAAAAAGCCAAGCAUCUGGAAGAGAAUUAAGAUGAGCCUUCCUGACGUGCUGUCUGCCUAGAGCUGGAACUCGAUGAAGCCACAGUUCCACUGAGGUUACGUUGGUAAUUAAAAGUGUCGCCCAAUAAUUCCUCCUCCUCUUUAAGUCAUCGAGCCACAUUUCCUCCUCAAAACAUUAUAGUCUCCUCAAGCCAGCAAGUAUCCUCUUUAUCAGGCAACAAACCAUCUAAGAUCAGUGACCCUCCUCCCCAGAGCAGAGACUCUCAUCUGUAUCCUAGUUAAAUUCAUCUCUGCUUACCACCUCUACAGUCCUAGAAAAUAUCCCAAAAAUGGAAAUGGUUUCAACAGAAGUCCUCCCCUCAGACCAGUGGCUCCACAGACCAGAGUUUCUCAUCUUUAUUCAAGUUGAAUGCAACUCUGAUCAUUUCCACCACCUCUCCUGUUAAGGGGAGGUGCUGAAAAGGAGGUCUGGGAGGAGGUCUGCAGGUAGCCUGGACCGGACCGGUAGCAGCUAAGUUGCUGGCUCCAUCCCCGGGUAGAGCUGCUCAAGUCAGGCCAGUGAUGUUUGAUGAUGUCAUUUUUGUUAGCAAAGUUUUACUCUUUAAUAAAAGCAUUUAGUAAAAAAGCAAUAUUGUUGUUACGGUGUGGAUUGUUUUGUUAUUUAUUAGAAUUGAAACAUCCAGUAGUCAUGGUAGAUGUUAGACUUUCAAUGAGACACCUAACAUUCCAUCAGUUUGAUCCAAUGUGUGACAUGUUAUAUUAUAUUAGUCCUCUAUACACAUCUAUUUUAGACCAUAGGAGAAAUAUCAGAUUGAAAUAGCUUCUCUAAGAAUCUGAGGAGAGAGCAACAGUAGAUGCAUCGUUAGCUCUCCCACCUCCAGUUCAGUACUCGGGUCAUUCCACCAAUUGAGUACCUUUUGGGGAGUGUAACUUUUAUUUCACCUAAUUCUAAUAUUUUGUCAUAAAUAGCACAUGUUCAACUUAAUAAAAAACAUGUUUUCCCAUCUCAAAAGUAACAAAUACAUACUAUAGUAAGUGCCUAUUAAGUGCCAAAUAAAGUGACAGGGUUGACUGUAACAGAGUUGACUAUUUCAUCUAGAAUCAACCAUAGAUCCCCAUGUGACAGGGGGAAUGGAAUGCAAGCUUACCAAACACAUGUAAAUAGUUUAAACAUUUCUAGACUGUCUAUCUAUAGGUAACAGGGUUGGUGUGUUAUAAUUCACCCACCCAGUGGUGAUUGCAGCAUGUACAUCUUGGUGGGGAAAACUCCCCCAAAAUGUUUUAGAUGAAUGCCAGCAAAGCCACUACACAACACAACACUAAACAAUACAUUAAUUGCAAUAUAACUUUAACAAACGGUGCCCACAAACUGUUAGGGUCGACAUAAAGCUGAUGGACGUAGUCAAUAUAACCAUUUGUAUAGCACUUUUGAAGUGAACAUGGGCCAUUCUUACAGUAUUCUCCCUGUACACCAAGUCAUAACUGCAUAUAAGCAGACAAUGAAAGCACUUACAAAAUUUGAUGAUUACAUUUCUCUAAAAUGGGCUGUAGUCUACAUGUGCAUCAUCAAGUCAGAGCAGUAGGCUAAGUUAUGAGAGGGGAAAGUGACAACAUUAUUAGGGUGAGGCACAUGGGCUCCUAACAGCUUACUACACAACAUACACUUAGUAUUACUUUCUUAUCUACAGUAUACACAUCUCCCUGGCAUAUUACAUCAUUUAUAGAGCAGCAGUCAAUACAUUGUUGGACUCACCUUGUUGUGCUCACUUGAACAGGAAGGUGUAGCGGCGGUUUGGCAUCAAAGUCUGUCAUUCUCUGGAUUUAUGGUUCUUUCAAGACAACUGGGAACUCGGGAAAAAACAAGGUUGAAUCUUGACAUCAGUGAUCUUCAGGUCAGAGUAGAAGAAAGAGGCCCGAGUUCCUGACUUGGAUUUCUGAGUUUGAUGGCCGUUCAAAACCUGUUUUCCCAGUCAGAGUUCCCAGUUGUCUUGAACUCACUGAAGUCUAAGAGUUCCCAGUCAGAGUUCACAGUUGUCUUGAACUCACUGAAGUCUAAGAUGUCCCAGUUCCGAGUUUCCAGUUGUUUUGAAUGCGGCAGUAGUGAUGUUGAAUAGCAGGCUAGUGAUUGCUUUGUUAAGCUUGCAGUUAGCCACUGAUUCCUUCCAAACCACUCAUUGUUGAAUUUACGAUUUCCAACUUUUUGUGUUUAUUUGGAAAGGUUGAUGACCACCGAUACUUUUUAUCUAUAAUUUCUCUUCAUAUGACAAGGAUUGAAAAGGAUUUGCCAGUAGAUUGUUGACUGGAUGCAUGAUGAUGACUGCUAGCUUGGUAGCUUUGAUUUUGAAAAUAUGAUGUUGAACCAAUCACGGCGCAACCAGAGAACAUAACCAACCCCUUAAAUAAGGUAUUUAAGUUCUGUAUUUUUAAUAGAUUUGCAAAAAUGUCUAAAUAUAUAUUUUCACUUUAACAUUGUGUGUAGAUUAUAGAAGAUUUUUUAUUUAUUUAUUUAAACCAUUUUAGAGUAAGUCUGUAACGUUACUAAGUGUGGAAAAAGGUCAAGGGGUCUGAAUACUUUCAGAAGGCACUGUGCAUAUGAUGGGCAUGAUGUUUUCACGACAACUGAGAACUACAAAAUAAAAAAUAAAAAAAGUAAAAUCAUGACGUCAGUCAUCUUCUGGUCGGAAAGUUCGGAACUCCAGAAAGAUACUCAAGUGACCGACUUGGAAUUCUGAGUUGGAUGACCUUUCAAAAGAUUUUUAUCAGUCGGGUCUCGUUUUUUCCCAAGUUACCAGUUGUUAAGAAUGCACUUGAGUCGGAGACUUCAGACCUCCGAGUUGCUAUCUCUAGUCCUGUAGGCUCAAAGGAGGGAGGGAGAGAAUGUAACCGAUGUGAAAUGGCUAGCUAGUUAGUGGUGGUGCGCGCUAAUAGCGUUUCAAUCGGGUGACGUCACUCGCUCUGAGACCUGAAGUAGUUCCCCUUGCUCUGCAAGGGCCGUGGCUUUUGUGGCGCGAUUGGUAAUGAUGCUUCGUGGGUGACUGUUGAUGUGUGCAGAGGGUCCCUGGUUCGAGCCUGGGUAGGGGCGAGGGGAUGGACUAAGGUUAUACUGUUACAAGAGCAUGAGAGGGUUCACCUUCCACGCCCCCUGCUCUCUCUCCCUCCAGUGAGACUGACUAGAGACACCUGAUGGUGAAACUCGAAUCACACUGCAUAUCUGCCUCAUGCACAAAUGCAUGUUCUGCUUGUGACCAGAGAAAGCUAAAUAUUCCUUUCUGAUGGGCCAGUGAAGGUAGGAAACAUCUCCUCCACCCCGCUGAUCCUCAACACUGGGGCCCCACAAGGGUGCGUGCUCAGCCCACUCCUGUUCUCACUGUUCACCCAUGACUGCGUGGACAUGCACGCCUCCAACUCAAUCAUCAAGUUUGCAUAUGACACAACAGUGGUAGGCUUGAUUACCAACAACGAUGAGACAGCCUACAGGGACGAGGUGAGGGCUCUGGGAGUGUGGUGCCAGGACAAUAAUCUCUCACUCAACGUCAACAAAGGAGAUGAUCAUGGACUUCAGGAAAGAGCAGAGGGAGCACCCUCCUAUUCACAUCGACGGGACAGCUGUGGAGAAGGUGGAAAGUUUUAAGUUCCUCAGCGUACACAUCACUGACCAAACUGAAAUGGUCCACAGACAGUGUGGUGAAGAAGGCUGAAAAAAUUUGGCUUGUCACCUAAAACCUGUCGGGCUGUAUCCUGUCGUGCUGUAUCGCCGCCUGGUACGGAAACUGCACCGCCCACAACCGCAGGGCUCUCCAGAGGGUGGUGCGGUCUGCACAAAGCAUCACCGGGGGCAAACUACCUGCCCUCCAGGACACCUACACCACCCGAUGACACGGGAAGGCCAAAAAGAUCAUCAAAGACAGCAACCACCCGAGCCACUGCCUGUUCACCCCGCUAGUAUCCAGAAGGGGAGGUCAGUACAGCUGCAUCAAAGCUGGGACCGAGAGACUGAAAAAGACUGAAAAACAGCUUCUAUCUCAAGGCCAUCAGACUGUUAAAUAGCCAUAACUGACGCAGAGAGGCUGCUUGAGGCACAGAC